rnacentral:rRNA from 1 species
GACGAACGCUGGCGGCGUGCUUAACACAUGCAAGUCGAACGGAAAGGCCCUGCUUGCAGGGUACUCGAGUGGCGAACGGGUGAGUAACACGUGGGUGAUCUGCCCUGCACUUCGGGAUAAGCCUGGGAAACUGGGUCUAAUACCGGAUAGGAGCCAUUUUUAGUGUGAUGGUUGGAAAGUUUUUUCGGUGUAGGAUGAGCUCGCGGCCUAUCAGCUUGUUGGUGGGGUAAUGGCCUACCAAGGCGGCGACGGGUAGCCGGCCUGAGAGGGUGGACGGCCACAUUGGGACUGAGAUACGGCCCAGACUCCUACGGGAGGCAGCAGUGGGGAAUAUUGCACAAUGGGCGCAAGCCUGAUGCAGCGACGCCGCGUGGGGGAUGACGGACUUCGGGUUGUAAACUCCUUUCGCUAGGGACGAAGCUUUUUGUGACGGUACCUAGAUAAUAAGCACCGGCUAACUACGUG